CCCUUAGAUGUUCUGGGCCGCACGCGUGCUACACUGAGUGGAUCAGCGGGUCAGGUUACGCGAGAGCGUUUCCUAAUCUUCAAAUCCGCUCGUGAUGGGGAUUGACGGUUGCAAUUUUCCGUCAUGAACGAGGAAUACCUUGUAAGCGCGGGUCAUCAUCCCGCGCUGAAUACGUCCCUGCCCUUUGUACACACCGCCCGUCGCUCCUACCGAUUGAGUGGUCCGGUGAGGCUUUGGGAUCUGAGCGGAAAGAGCGUUUCGCUGUUUCUGCUCGGAAAACUCAGUCGAACCUUAUCAUUUAGAGGAAGGAGAAGUCGUAACA
rnacentral:rRNA from 1 species